GAUGAACGCUGACAGAAUGCUUAACACAUGCAAGUCUUUGGCGAAGCUGUGCUUGCACAGCCUAGCCAAGGCGGACGGGUGAGUAACGCGUAAGGAACUUGCCCUGCAGUCAGGGAUAACAGACGGAAACGACUGAUAAGACCUGGUAAAGUCAGGCGGACUCAUGUCCAGCCUGAUGAAAAGAGAUGCUGCAGGAGAGCCUUGCGUCCUAUUAGCUUGUUGGUGGGGUAACGGCCCACCAAGGCGAUGAUAGGUAGCCGGCCUGAGAGGGUGGACGGCCACAAGGGGACUGAGAUACGGCCCUUACUCCUACGGGAGGCAGCAGUGGGGAAUAUUGGACAAUGGGGGCAACCCUGAUCCAGCAAUUCUGUGUGCACGAUGAAGGUUUUCGGAUUGUAAAGUGCUUUCAGCAGGGAAGAAAAAAAUGACGGUACCUGCAGAAGAAGCGACGGCCAAAUACGUG
rnacentral:rRNA from 1 species